rnacentral:rRNA from 1 species
CGCUGGCGGCGUGCCUAAUACAUGCAAGUCGAGCGAACAGAUAAGGAGCUUGCUCCUUUGACGUUAGCGGCGGACGGGUGAGUAACACGUGGGUAACCUACCUAUAAGACUGGGAUAACUUCGGGAAACCGGAGCUAAUACCGGAUAACAUUUGGAACCGCAUGGUUCUAAAGUGAAAGAUGGUUUUGCUAUCACUUAUAGAUGGACCCGCGCCGUAUUAGCUAGUUGGUAAGGUAACGGCUUACCAAGGCGACGAUACGUAGCCGACCUGAGAGGGUGAUCGGCCACACUGGAACUGAGACACGGUCCAGACUCCUACGGGAGGCAGCAGUAGGGAAUCUUCCGCAAUGGGCGAAAGCCUGACGGAGCAACGCCGCGUGAGUGAUGAAGGGUUUCGGCUCGUAAAACUCUGUUAUUAGGGAAGAACAAAUGUGUAAGUAACUGUGCACAUCUUGACGGUACCUAAUCAGAAAGCCACGGCUAACUACGUGCCAGCAGCCGCGGUAAUACGUAGGUGGCAAGCGUUAUCCGGAAUUAUUGGGCGUAAAGCGCGCGUAGGCGGUUUCUUAAGUCUGAUGUGAAAGCCCACGGCUCAACCGUGGAGGGUCAUUGGAAACUGGGAAACUUGAGUGCAGAAGAGGAAAGUGGAAUUCCAUGUGUAGCGGUGAAAUGCGCAGAGAUAUGGAGGAACACCAGUGGCGAAGGCGACUUUCUGGUCUGUAACUGACGCUGAUGUGCGAAAGCGUGGGGAUCAAACAGGAUUAGAUACCCUGGUAGUCCACGCCGUAAACGAUGAGUGCUAAGUGUUAGGGGGUUUCCGCCCCUUAGUGCUGCAGCUAACGCAUUAAGCACUCCGCCUGGGGAGUACGACCGCAAGGUUGAAACUCAAAGGAAUUGACGGGGACCCGCACAAGCGGUGGAGCAUGUGGUUUAAUUCGAAGCAACGCGAAGAACCUUACCAAAUCUUGACAUCCUUUGAAAACUCUAGAGAUAGAGCCUUCCCCUUCGGGGGACAAAGUGACAGGUGGUGCAUGGUUGUCGUCAGCUCGUGUCGUGAGAUGUUGGGUUAAGUCCCGCAACGAGCGCAACCCUUAAGCUUAGUUGCCAUCAUUAAGUUGGGCACUCUAGGUUGACUGCCGGUGACAAACCGGAGGAAGGUGGGGAUGACGUCAAAUCAUCAUGCCCCUUAUGAUUUGGGCUACACACGUGCUACAAUGGACAAUACAAAGGGCAGCUAAACCGCGAGGUCAUGCAAAUCCCAUAAAGUUGUUCUCAGUUCGGAUUGUAGUCUGCAACUCGACUACAUGAAGCUGGAAUCGCUAGUAAUCGUAGAUCAGCAUGCUACGGUGAAUACGUUCCC